rnacentral:piRNA from 1 species
UAGUUGGGUAACACAACAUGGACCUGAUGG